rnacentral:rRNA from 1 species
GUAGGUGGCAAGCGUUGUCCGGAAUUAUUGGGCGUAAAGCGCGCGCAGGCGGUUCUUUAAGUCUGAUGUGAAAGCCCACGGGCUCAACCGUGGAGGGUCAUUGGAAACUGGAGAACUUGAGUACAGAAGAGGAAAGCGGAAUUCCACGUGUAGCGGUGAAAUGCGUAGAGAUGUGGAGGAACACCAGUGGCGAACGCGGCUUUCUGGUCUGUAACUGACGCUGAGGCGCGAAAGCGUGGGGAGCAAACAGGAUUAGAUACCCUGGUAGUCCACGCCGUAAACGAUGAGUGCUAAGUGUUAGGGGGUUUCCGCCCCUUAGUGCUGCAGCUAACGCAUUAAGCACUCCGCCUGGGGAGUACGGCCGCAAGGCUG